UAUGAUUCAUGAAUUAGGUAUUUAGAUAUUUUUUACAACUUGACAUUUUCAGAAAAUUAUACCCGACGAUGAGUUUGAAGAAAAUGAACAGACAGAAAAGGAUUUGGAAACGUUACAGUUGAUGAUUUUAAUUAAAUAAAACUGAAUAGGUAAUGUCUAAUACACACACACACACUUAUUUCAUUCAGUUUCAAAACUGAAAUUUAUGAUAUACAUACAAGUAACUAGGAAUUUGAGCCAAUGUAUUGACAAUUUUCAGACGUUGAAUUUCUUGAAGAUUAUUCUGGCGGCUCUGAUGUAGCAAUACAAUAUUGGAGUGAAUUGUGAAACUUAAAGAGAAUAUUAGUUUACACACAUUUUUGGAUUCAAAGCCACUAUCCAGCUGUUAUCACACAUAUAAUUUGUGAAGUCGAGACUAUUGUACAAGAUUUUUUGCCAAACAAUUCACCUGUCAGAAUGUUUGGCAUGAGCUGUGAAAAGAUAUAUAUAUAUAUAUAUUGAUGAUGUUGCUGAUAGGCUGUUAAAA